CCUACGGGAGGCAGCAGUGGGGGAUAUUGGACAAUGGGGGGAACCCUGAUCCAGCGACGCCGCGUGAGUGAAGAAGUAUUUCGGUAUGUAAAGCUCUGUCAGCAGGGAAGAAAGAAAUGACGGUACCUGACCAAGAAGCCCCGGCUAACGACGUGCCAGCAGCCGCGGUAAUACGUAGGGGGCAAGCGUUAUCCGGAAUUACUGGGUGUAAAGGGAGCGUAGACGGGUAAGUAAGUCUGGAGUGAAAGGCCGGGGCCCAACCCCGGGAGUGCUCUUGAAACUAUUGAGCUUGAGUGCAGGAGAGGUAAGCAGAAUUCCUAGUGUAGCGGUGAUAUGCGUAGAGAGUAGGAGGAACACCGGUGGCGAAGGCGGCUGACUGGACUGUAACUGACGUUGAGGUUCGAAAGCGUGGGGAGCAAACAGGAUUAGAUACCCGAGUAGUC
rnacentral:rRNA from 1 species